rnacentral:rRNA from 1 species
GAGUGCCGUCCGCUGAGGGCGGCUUUUCCCCGGUGUAAGGAGCCGGGGGAAUAAGGAGAGGGCAAGUCUGGUGUCAGCCGCCGCGGUAAUACCAGCUCUCCGAGUGGUAGGGAUGAUUAUUGGGCUUAAAGCGUCCGUAGCCGGCCCGGCAAGUCUUCCGUUAAAUCCAACGAUUCAAUCGUUGGACUGCAGGAGAUACUGUUGGGCUAGGGGGCGGGAGAGGCCGACGGUAUUCUCGGGGUAGGGGUAAAAUCCUAUAAUCCCGGGAGGACCACCAGUGGCGAAGGCGGUCGGCUAGAACGCGCUCGACGGUGAGGGACGAAAGCUGGGGGAGCGAACCGGAUUAGAUACCCGGGUAGUCCCAGCUGUAAACGAUGCGGGCUAGGUGUUGGGGCGGCUACGGGCCGCUUCAGUGCCGCAGGGAAACCAUUAAGCCCGCCGCCUGGGGAGUACGGCCGCAAGGCUGAAACUUAAAGGAAUUGGCGGGGGGAG